AUGAGCGAAAGGGCAUCAGAAGAGCGGCACGUUAAAAGAGCGAAGGCACUCAGUACUACCAUCCAACCAAAAUCUCCACCAAUCCCAGUAUCCACUUCUAGACCUAAACCCCCAUGUUUGUUUUGCAAAGAAGAAUCGCACGGCAUAGCUAAGUGUCCUGCUUUUGCAGCGAAAACUAGUGAUGACAAGAAAGUUUUCAUUCAGGAAAAUCAUCUCUGCUUUGGGUGUUUGAGAAGGGGUCAUGUAACCAAAGAAUGCAGAGGACGUCACUCCUGUAGUAAGUGUGGUCGGCGUCACCCCACCUGUCUACACACAGAAAGAGUGAAUGAACCUAAAGAAAGGAAAACUGAGGAUUCUAAAUCCCCAGAUGAAGGUGCAAACAAGGAAGUGCAUAAUGUUAUGACUCAUGUACUAAUAAGGAAAACAUCUUCCACAUCCAGCAUAGUACCAGUAUUUGUGUCAGUUGCAUCUGAGCCUGAGAAAGAAAUACUUACAUAUGCCCUGCUUGACACCCAGAGUGACUCAUCCUUUAUUUUAGAGGAUUUGGCAUUAGAACUAAAUGUAGACACCCAACCAGUGCAGUUAAAGCUUAGUACCAUGACUUCCGUCGACACAGUUGUUGCAAGUAAACUUGCCAACAACUUACAGGUGCAUGGGUUUGACUCUGAGACUCGUGUCCAAAUAGAACAAGCCUACUCUCGUGACUUUAUCCCAGUUGACAAGUCUCAUAUCCCUACCAAGGAAACUGCACUACAGUGGCCACACCUUGAAGGCUUAGCUGACAAGUUACAGCCAUUGCAGAACUGUAAAGUAGGUCUAUUGAUUGGUUAUGACUGCCCAUCAGCACUAGCCCCAGUAGAGAUCGUCACAGGCAAAAUAAACGAACCUUUCGCACAAAGAACCCUACUAGGAUGGAGUAUUAUUGGUUCUGGUAAUCCCCACCUAGACAGAGAAGGUAACCAGAGUUAUGUGCACAGGAUCACAGUCAAAGAAAUGCCCAUACCAUCAGCCACAGAUGUACUCAAAGUCCUAGAGACUGACUUUAAUGAGAGAAACUAUGAGGAUAAGUAUGUAUCACAGGAUGAUGUUUGCUUCAUACAAAUCCUCAGUGAUACAAUAAAACAAAGACCAGAUGUACACUAUGAGAUGCCGCUUCCCUUCAAGGGCAAUGAUCCGCCAACUCUUCCCAACAACAAGAAGCUAGCCACAGUCCGACUGCAACACCUGAAGAAAAGGCUAAAGGCUGAUAAACAGUAUUAUGAACAUUUAGGGCUGUGCGAUAUGACUAAAAUCUCAUAUCCCGAUAUUAAGACAUCUAUCGUCCGAUAA
rnacentral:lncRNA from 1 species